GCUCAACAAAGCUUUAAGAUCUAGCUGUAUGCACACCCGGCAGAUCUUUUUCAUAUUAGUUAUUUGUUUGCAAACCCAGUUUUGCAGCUCUCUGAACCACGAAGACUGACUGUUUUUUCGUGCAGGCCAGAGCACCGGUUCCAGACGGGACGAUAUUGAUCCUGCUCACAAGAAGUCAAUUUUCAAAGUAGGUUUCCAUGGAGACAAGCAGAGCGAGGUGGUGUUAUGGCCUGGAUUAAGGCUCUCCGGAGGUCAUCUGGAGGAGAUCCCUGACCUACUGGGAGUUGUUUUCUUCAAUACGCUGCAUCCUGCUUAUGGUUCCUGGAGCAGUGGAGGAUUAAGUGCACCUGCCAAAGGCAGCUCCACCUCUCCACUGAGUCAGGCCUUGUUCACGCCCAAGGAGGAGGUUGUGUUUAGCAGAAGAGGGCCCUGAAUUUCCUUCCCUGAGGGCUCCAGGCGGGUGGAGCUCCUGGCAGGCAGUGGUUUUCUGCUGAAAGCAAAGUCCAGUUUAAACCCUAAGGAGUUAUUUUUUGUGCUGCUCCGUAAUGAAUAACCAC